rnacentral:rRNA from 1 species
AAUAGAUACCCUGGUAGUCCACGCCGUAAACGAUGUCGACUUGGAGGGUUGUUCCCUUGAGGAGUGGCUUCCGGAGCUAACGCGUUAAGUCGACCGCCUGGGGAGUACGGCCGCAAGGUUAAAACUCAAAAUGAAUUGACGGGGGCCCGCACAAGCGGUGGAGCAUGUGGUUUAAUUCGAUGCAACGCGAAGAACCUUACCUACUCUUGACAUCCAGAGAACUUAGCAGAGAUGCUUUGGUGCCUUCGGGAACUCUGAGACAGGUGCUGCAUGGCUGUCGUCAGCUCGUGUUGUGAAAUGUUGGGUUAAGUCCCGCAACGAGCGCAACCCUUAUCCUUUGUUGCCAGCGGUCCGGCCGGGAACUCAAAGGAGACUGCCAGUGAUAAACUGGAGGAAGGUGGGGAUGACGUCAAGUCAUCAUGGCCCUUACGAGUAGGGCUACACACGUGCUACAAUGGCGUAUACAAAGAGAAGCGACCUCGCGAGAGCAAGCGGACCUCAUAAAGUACGUCGUAGUCCGGAUUGGAGU